rnacentral:rRNA from 1 species
AACGAACGCUGGCGGCAUGCCUAACACAUGCCAGUCGAACGAGACCUUCGGGUCUAGUGGCGCACGGGUGCGUAACGCGUGGGAACCUGCCCUUAGGUUCGGAAUAACUCCCCGAAAGGGGUGCUAAUACCGGAUAAUUUCUUCGGACCAAAGAUUUAUCGCCUUUGGAUGGGCCCGCGUUGGAUUAGCUAGUUGGUAGGGUAAAAGCCUACCAAGGCGACGAUCCAUAGCUGGUCUGAGAGGAUGAUCAGCCACACUGGGACUGAGACACGGCCCAGACUCCUACGGGAGGCAGCAGUGGGGAAUAUUGGACAAUGGGCGAAAGCCUGAUCCAGCAAUGCCGCGUGAGUGAUGAAGGCCUUAGGGUUGUAAAGCUCUUUUACCCGGGAUGAUAAUGACAGUACCGGGAGAAUAAGCGCCGGCUAACUCCGUG